rnacentral:rRNA from 1 species
UACGAAGGGGGCUAGCGUUGCUCGGAAUCACUGGGCGUAAAGGGUGCGUAGGCGGGUCUUUUAAGUCAGGGGUGAAAUCCUGGAGCUCAACUCCAGAACUGCCUUUGAUACUGAGAAGCUUGAGUCCGGGAGAGGUGAGUGGAACUGCGAGUGUAGAGGUGAAAUUCGUAGAUAUUCGCAAGAACACCAGUGGCGAAGGCGGCUUACUGGUCCGGUUCUGACGCUGAGGCGCGAAAGCGUGGGGAGCGAACAGG